GUAGCUAAUACCGCAUAACGUCGCAAGACCAAAGAGGGGGACCUUCGGGCCUCUUGCCAUCAGAUGUGCCCAGAUGGGAUUAGCUAGUAGGUGGGGUAAUGGCUCACCUAGGCGACGAUCCCUAGCUGGUCUGAGAGGAUGACCAGCCACACUGGAACUGAGACACGGUCCAGACUCCUACGGGAGGCAGCAGUGGGGAAUAUUGCACAAUGGGCGCAAGCCUGAUGCAGCCAUGCCGCGUGUGUGAAGAAGGCCUUCGGGUUGUAAAGCACUUUCAGCGAGGAGGAAGGUGGUGAGCUUAAUACGUUCAUCAAUUGACGUUACUCGCAGAAGAAGCACCGGCUAACUCCGUGCCAGCAGCCGCGGGUAAUACGAA
rnacentral:rRNA from 1 species